AUUGAACGCUGGCGGCAGGCCUAACACAUGCAAGUCGGACGGUAGCACAGAGGAGCUUGCUCCUCGGGUGACGAGUGGCGGACGGGUGAGUAAUGUCUGGGGAUCUGCCCGAUAGAGGGGGAUAACCACUGGAAACGGUGGCUAAUACCGCAUAACGUCGCGAGACCAAAGAGGGGGACCUUCGGGCCUCUCACUAUCGGAUGAAACCAGAUGGGAUUAGCUAGUAGGCGGGGUAAUGGCCCACCUAGGCGACGACCCCUAGCGGGUCUGAGAGGAUGACCAGCCACCAUGGAACUGAGACACGGUCCAGGCUCCUACGGGAGGCAGCAGUGGAGAAUAUUGCACAAUGGGCGCAAGCCUGAUGCAGCCAUGCCGCGUGUAUGAAGAAGGCCUUCGGGUUGUAAAGUACUUUCAGCGGGGAGGAAGGCGGUGAGGUUAAUAACCUCACCGAUUGACGUUACCCGCAGAAGAAGCACCGGCUAACUCCGUGCCAGCCGCCGCAGUAA
rnacentral:rRNA from 1 species